rnacentral:ribozyme from 1 species
UGUCAAUAUACAUUCACACAUCUUAUCCGCUGCCCCCCCCUCUCAAGAUUGAAGAGAAGAAGAAAAAUGAGUAAUUGAAACAAUGGUACAUUUAUUCCUUUCUCAUCUUCUCUCUGUGACUUACGUUACUACGUUAUUGUCCUCCAUCUGC